GCCAGGCUAGUGCUACUAAACAUAAGGAUAAGCUUGAGCUGUUGAGUGCGAAAUUGGCGCAAGCACUCACACUUCCGUCGCUCAAUGUUUCUGCUGACUUUAAAGUGACGUUGAAGGUUGUUCACUCUGACAUCCUCUCCUUGCUAGCCAAAAAUGUUGAACUGAAGGCCAGGAGUACUCAAUACCUUCGUGCUGCAUCUGAAAGAG
rnacentral:lncRNA from 1 species